rnacentral:rRNA from 1 species
CCUACGGGAGGCAGCAGUGAGGAAUAUUGGACAAUGGGCGCAGGCCUGAUCCAGCCAUGCCGCGUGCAGGAAGACGGUCCUAUGGAUUGUAAACUGCUUUUAUACAGGAAGAAACACCUCUACGUGUAGAGACUUGACGGUACUGUAUGAAUAAGCAUCGGCUAACUCCGUGCCAGCAGCCGCGGUAAUACGGAGGACGCAAGCGUUAUCCGGAAUCAUUGGGUUUAAAGGGUCCGUAGGCGGUUUAAUAAGUCAGUGGUGAAAGCCCAUCGCUCAACGAUGGAACGGCCAUUGAUACUGUUAAACUUGAAUUAUUAGGAAGUAACUAGAAUAUGUAGUGUAGCGGUGAAAUGCUUAGAGAUUACAUGGAAUACCAAUUGCGAAGGCAGGUUACUACUAAUAUAUUGACGCUGAUGGACGAAAGCGUGGGGAGCGAACAGGAUUAGAUACCCUGGUAGUCCACGCCGUAAACGAUGGAUACUAGCUGUUCGGAGCAAUCUGAGUGNGUAGAGAAGAGAUAAGUAUACCACCGUCGGGUAGGUACGUUCGCGAAGAAGAGAAACGUACGAAAGAAAGUUAGUACGGCGUAGAGACGUAGACCGACGGACGACGACGAGGGGAGGAGG